rnacentral:rRNA from 1 species
AUACGGAGGAUGCAAGCGUUAUCCGGAUUUAUUGGGUUUAAAGGGUGCGUAGGCGGUUUGCUAAGCGGGAGGUGAAAUGCCGGCGCUCAACGUCGGAAGUGCCUCCCGAACUGGUGGACUUGAAUGACUCUGCCGUGGGAGGAAUGUGUAGUGUAGCGGUGAAAUGCUUAGAGAUUACACAGAACACCGAUUGCGAAGGCAUCUCACGAAGGGUUGAUUGACGCUGAGGCACGAAAGCGUGGGGAUCAAACAGGAUUAGAUACCCUGGUAGUCCACGCAGUAAACGAUGAUGGCUAACCGCUGGGCUUAUCAGUUUAGUGGCCAAGCGAAAGCGAUAAGCCAUCCACCUGGGGAGUACGACCGCAAGGUUGAAACUCAAAUGAAUUGGCGGGG